rnacentral:rRNA from 1 species
AAAACAUGAUCACCGGUGCUGCUCAGAUGGACGGCGCGAUCCUGGUAGUUGCUGCGACUGACGGCCCGAUGCCGCAGACUCGUGA